GAUGAAGAACGCAGCGAAAUGCGAUAAGUAAUGUGAAUUGCAGAAUUCAGUGAAUCAUCGAAUCUUUGAACGCACAUUGCGCCCGCCAGUAUUCUGGCGGGCAUGCCUGUUCGAGCGUCAUUUCAACCCUCAAGCCCCCGGGCUUGGUGUUGGGAAUCGGCGUGCCCUCGCGGCGCGCCGUCCCCUAAAUCUAGUGGCGGUCUCGCUGUAGCUUCCUCUGCGUAGUAGCAACACUCGCACUGGAUCGCAGCGCGGCCACGCCGUUAAACCCCCCACUUCUGAAAGUUUGACCUCGGAUCAGGUAGGAAUACCCGCUGAACUUAAGCAUAUCAAUAAGCGGAGGA
rnacentral:misc_RNA from 1 species